AUGGCGCCGCACGCCGCCGCCGGUCCGGACUGCUGCAGAGCGGCCGCCAUGCGAGCGCAGCUCGCCGCGCCGGCGCCGGCAGAUGAGGAGGAGGAGGAGGCGCUGGUGGUGAAGGUGAAGCUCCUCGACCUCUUCUUGGGCGGCAACAGCGACUCCUGUAUCUGGAUGCUGGUGGGGAGGCUGCACCCGGCCGCUAGCUGGAGCUGCAAGCCCGUCGUCGUCGUCGUUGGAGAUGGAGAUGCCGCUACGGCUCUCUUCUUCGGCGGCAGCAGUGAUGGAUCGAUGAUGGUGCGGAAGCUGUGCCCGGCCGGCUGGAGCUGGACGCCCGUCGUCGUCAUCGGAGCAAGAAUUCUUCAGAUCGGGUAUGGGAAAACAGCUAGGUACACCAUCGGAAGGAAGGAGGCCCGGGAAGGUAUAUAA
rnacentral:rRNA from 1 species